AUGAAAUACACCCCCGAGCACCUAGGUCGGAAGUUUGGUGGCCUCAGGGGACCAGCGAGGAACCCAAAGGCCCCAGCUCGGCCCAGGAGAAGCGGCCGGAUCCCCGUCUGGCCAGUCCCCUCCAGGAAAGGAGACGCGAGGCCUAGAGGGUUCAGCUUAGGCCGCAAAACUAGGUCCCCAAGAGGACCCACGCGCGGCGCCGGCGCCGGCGCCCGGGAGCAGAACGCCGUGGCCACGCCGAGCCCCGGGCCCCGGCGUCCCGCCGCGCGGCGCCCCUCCCAGCGAGCCCGCCACCCGCCAGCCGCCCGCGGCCCGAGCCCCGCGCCAGGAAGCGGAGGACGCGGCUCCGCACUUCACAUUUUGUUCCGUAACUUCAGCAACCGAGCCCGGCGGCGUCUCCCACCCGUCGGCCGCCCGGCGCCACCCCGGCACCGCCGAGGCCUGAGCGGCCGCUCCGGACAACCCCGCCGGGCCUCGGCGCGCGCCCUCCCCUGCGGUCUCCCUUCCGUCCCUCCCUCGCCGCCGCCGCUGCCGCGAGGGCGCGAGCCGGCCGCCGCUUUACCUCCUCCUCAUGCGGGCGGACGGUGCAGUGAGAGCCGGGCCUCUGUCAGGUGGUUGUGUCGCCGCCGCCGCCGCCCCUCGUCGGCCUGCACACAAAGCGGCUCCGCGGGUCCCGCCGCCGCCGCCCGCCCGCCCCGGAGCGGCGCUGGGGCUGGCGGUGCCGAGGAGCAGCCGCCGCGGGGGGAGACGCGGGCCGAGCGUGCGCCGGCCGGGGCGACACUGCCGCUCUCCGUCGGGCUGAGGAAGCGCAGCCUCAGCCGCGACUCCUCCGAGAGCCCGCGCGCGGUGCACGCCCGCGCGCCCCCCGCUCACCCGCCCGCCCGCUCGAUCUCCCGCCCGCACCUCGCGCCCACCCGCACCCGGCGCCCUCUCGCCGCGGCGCGCUCCCGGCUGCCUGUGCCCCGCAGAGCCGGAGCCUCUCGCACACCCAGGGCCCGUCACGCGAGCGGCGCGAGAGCACGCGAGAGCAACGCGCGCCUCGCUCCCGCCCCUUCUUCCGCCGACCGAACCCCCGCCUCCCUCGGGCCCGACGCGGCCGCGCGCCGGGGCGGACAGCGCCGCCACUCGUUUGGCGCCAAGACCUGCCCGCGCGGGCGCCUCCGUCCGGGAGGCCGGCAGCCGAGCGGGCGCGCGGAGGAGGAGAAGGAGGAGCCCCGGUGGCGGGAAGCGGAGCCCGGGAGGCGCUGGCCUGGGACGCUCGCCGCCCGCCCGGAGUUCGUGCUCUUGAAGGCGUGUCUGGUGGGGGACGUGGGAAGCGGACUGGCUGAAAAAUGGUUAAUCCCCCGGAGAAAUUGUUGA
rnacentral:lncRNA from 1 species